rnacentral:ncRNA from 1 species
AUGAUGGCUAUGAAGAGAGAAGUAAGUUAAUUAAAUCAUUAAAGAGAGUCCUGUAUGGUGAGAGAGGAUAUGAAAGAUUUUCUGAACGUGCACUUGGAGCUUAAAGGCCGAUAUGUAGGUUUUUACGUUAUCAUACGUUAUAGUGACAGGGUAUUAUCAGCAAUUGUUUGUUGAAGUACUUUAUGAGGUAUAAGUCGUGAGGCUUAUAUGAAUUUGGGUGGUAAUCACGGAUUUUUCGUCCCUUUA